UACAGAGGGGGCAAGCGUUGUUCGGAAUUACUGGGCGUAAAGGGCGCGUAGGCGGCCUGCUAAGUCGAACGUGAAAUCCCUGGGGUCAACCCAGGAACUGCGUCCGAUACUGGUUGGCUUGAAUCCGGGAGAGGGAUGUGGAAUUCCAGGUGUAGCGGUGAAAUGCGUAGAUAUCAAGAGGAACACCUGCGGCGAAGGCGGGUUGCUGGGCCGACACUGACGCUGAGGCGCGAAAGCCAGGGGAGCAAACGGG
rnacentral:rRNA from 1 species